CGCACUCUGGCGGAUGCCAGCCUCCACAUAAGGACCCUGACUACCCUGAGCCACGCUUGCUGGAGAGGCCACAGUGGGCCCAGCUGAGCCCCCAGCCGACAGCCAGCAUCAAGUACCAGGCAUCUGAGGAGGAGAUUGAAGUUGGGGUAAUGGAGCCUUGUCUGGGCCAUGGACCAUGGGAGUGAAGAAAGCCAGGUUGCCCAGAGAAGCAGGAAAGUGAAAAAGAAGUCUGUGGAAAUGAACAGAGCAAAUCAAACCGUGGGAAUAGGGAGCAGGCAACCUCGAUCGAUGCCUGAUACUUCAGUUACCAGUUCCAUUCCUUCAUGAGGUCACCUGAAACCUAUAUGCAAGAAGUCAUCUCAGGCAGGCCCAAGGGCAACCUCUGGCCAACAGCCCACUAGGAAUGAACACCCUCAAACCAAAAGCCCAGAGGAACCGAAUGUUGCCAACAACCAUGUGAGCUUGAAGGCAGAUUCUUCUCUUGUUGAUCCUGCAGAUGAGACAACAGCCCAGGCCAACACCUAGACUGCAUCCUCCCAAGAGACCCUAAAGCAAAAAACCCAGCAGACCGUUGCCCAGACUCCUGACUCACAGAAACUGUGAGCUAAUAAACAUGUGUGUAUGUGUGUGUGUGUGUGUUUAAGCCCUUAUGUACAUACAUGGUAAUUUGAUACUCAGCAAUACAUGACUAAGACAUUCUUUCCGUCCCACUGCUUCCCCAGGUCCUGCUCAUCUGGAUCGCUCAUUUAUGUACCCUUUAGACUUGACGCUUUUAUAUCUGACCCACAAGGAACGCUUCCCUGUCUCGUUCUGGCUGCAUCCAGCUGAGGCUGAUAGUGGCUUGAGGUUCCCCGUGGUGAACAGAGCUCCAUACUUGGGGGAUCUUCACUCCCAGCCUGACAAAUAGGACAAUGACAAAAGAUCAAGGCUGGGAGGUGGUGGGGUCCAGGCCACUGGGCAUCUGAAGACUGGCAAGCUGCCUGCAGGAGGUAGGGCUGGGUCAGGGCUGAGACCCUGCACCUUGACCCUCCCUCCUGGCCGAGUCCCUAGCUUGCAGAGUCCCUGUAAGACACCGCCAGACCCUCUAUUCUCUAAACUUUCUCCUUGCUCUCCCUGCUUCUGAGCUUCUUGCCCAUCUCCUAGUUUCCCAUCCUGAUAGUUUUGUGCCUCGUUCUCUCUUCUCAACCUAGUUCCUUCCAUUUGACAAAUCAUCUGGAUACGCUGCUCAAUUUGCAAAUCAAAAUAAAUGAAUUUUAUUACAAAAAUAAUUUUUGCACAUUUUAGGAAAUCGUGGGAAGAAAAUAAGCACAAAGGCAAAAUUGAAAAUCAUCUUCGUCAUGCUACCCAGAGACAGACUGUCUAAUUUUUGUCUUCAUUUUUGAGAUUCAUUUUAACCUGAUGUGUUUUCUCCCUUUUCCCUCCUUGACCGUGUUUCAUAUAAGUGCUUUUUUAAUGGUCUCAUACUGUAAGUAGUUUCAUGGCCUGUAAUCUGUUUUUUUCCACUUAGCUUCCUAUCAUGAACAUUUUCCCACAGCAAUAAAUAUACUUCUAUGUCACUCUUUUAAAUUACUGAAUAACAUUUCUUAUGAUUUAAUGUUUUUGCUCUUGUGUUAAAAUUCAAAGAAAUAUUCUUUGCAGUUCAGUUGUUGGACACACACUUAAUGGCCUCUCUAGACGUGGAACCACUGGUCAAAAAGAUGCAUGUUUUGGAAGCUUGUAAUAAAUAUUGACAAAUCUCCCCAAACAAUAUUGGCCCACUCUUCACUCUCCAGAAGCAUAUGACAUUAUUCCCCAUUCUCUCGAACUAGCUAUUCUCUUUGUGAUUCUUUUUGUUGUUUGUCAUCACAAUCCCAUGAGUGCAUAGCUCCCACUCCCCAUCACCGGGCACGCACUCUCACGUGUCAGAUGUGUAAACAUAGACAAUCCACCCCCGAAACCUUUGUUUAUAUGUAUGCAUGUGUAUCCCCAAACAAUAUAUAAUACUGCUUUGGGAGGGCAUUUAUAAAACCUCAUGUAAAUGCUAUUGUGCUAUGUAUUACAUUCUAUUGUCCCUUUUUGUUCAAUCAAUGCGGGUGUUUUGGUUUUUUGUUUUUGUUUUUUACUGAGAUCUGUGCUAACUUAUGUAACUCAAAUUCAUUUGU